UGUUUGCAUUUUUCUUCCCUAUCUCAGGCCUCAUCAGAAGAAACAGGUGCUACUGGCUCCUGUGGUUCCUUGAGGUCCCACUUCCAUAAAACAGCAUUUGCAGUUCCCAGUGGGAAGAUGUGGAUGCAAAGUGGCACCAAGACCUCAGCCCUGGUGGGAGCUGCAGUCAGGAGCAAAGCUGACCUUGUGCAAACCUUUGUUGUUGCACCAUCCAAGUUCAUCACUCAGUUUUUGAGGUGCUGGCCAUUCCAUCUCUUGUGUGAGAUGAACAGCACCAGAUUGGUUUAGGAGGUCUGCACCUGGAUCCUCUCCUAACAGGAGAUGUUUUCCUGGUCUUUAAGCAUAUGAUGCUCAGCAUUAUAUACCAGUUUGAGAGAUUUUGGUCCACUUGGCUGACCCUACAACAAGGUGGCAAAGAGUUUGCCUCUUUUAAACACAUAA